GUCCUAACUGGUCUUUAAGGUCCUCCUAGUACCAGAGCUCUGAGGCUCUGUAUUUCCCCUGAACAACCUCUUGGAACUCUCCACAUUCUCAUAACAGAAGAAAAUGCAUUUGUGCUCUGGGCUGAAGCUCAGAAGUGGGCUUUCACGACAGUCAUUUCAGGCCUGUUUCCCUUUUUCUCCCUUCCCUGAAAGGGCCUCUGGUCUUUCCCAAGCUGCCUGAGUAGAAGGAAACACACAGCUCCCCCAGAGCAGAGAGGCCCGCGAGAGGGAAAGCUGGCCCAGGCCCAGGGCAGGCUCGCCUCUGACUCUGCAGGGACAUUAUUCCCUCCCAGCCAGCAGGGAACUUCUGGAACUUCUAAACAGCACAUCCUCGAGCCAGCCCAGGCCCCCACAGCAUCCUGCACCCCAGGUUUACAAGCUUUUUAAUGGUGCCUGCUACACCCAGGGAGGCCAGAAGAGGUGGACAGAAAUAGUCUCCAUGUCAAUAUGCUGCAUUUUCCUUUCUCAGAAAUCAGAGCACCACAGCCAGCUCUAGCCCAGAGGGAAAGUAAGAGGAUGUUUCUGCAGCAGCUGUCCUUUCUCCUGUAACUACUAAACUGUCGCCCCUCACUAAAGAGGAUGGCUUUGCCUAUGCUGUCCCCACCCCUUGAAGCGAGCUUCCUCCUCUAUUGGGAUAGGUAACUCUCUUUUCUUCAAUAAUUCUUUAAUGUUAUAAAAUACCUGCCAGUGUUCACAUUUCCCUGAAUGAUUUUUAAUUCUUUUUCCUUUUUUAGUAUGUUUGUUUGAAGUAGGAAUCUAAACAAGAUCUAUAUAUUGUGAUUAAUUGAUAUGUCUCCGAAGUCUCUUGUUUAUAGUUCUCUCUCUUUGUAAAUCUCUCUCUCUCCCCUUGCACUUUUUUUAAUGAAAAAAAAAUCUGAUUGUUUAUCUUACAGAAUUUCCCAAAUCUGGAUUUUUAAAAAAAAUUAAAACACAGUGAUAUCAUUUAA
ensembl:lncRNA novel transcript